rnacentral:rRNA from 1 species
CGGGGAGCACCACAACGGGUGGAGCUUGCGGUUUAAUUGGAUUCAACGCCGGAAAUCUUACCGGGACCGACAGCAAUAUGAAGGCCAGGCUGAAGACUUUGCCGGAUUAGCUGAGAGGUGGUGCAUGGCCGUCGUCAGUUCGUACUGUGAAGCAUCCUGUUAAGUCAGGCAACGAGCGAGACCCACGCCCACAGUUGCCAGCGUACUCUCUGGAGUGACGGGUACACUGUGGGGACCGCCGCUGCUAAAGCGGAGGAAGGAAUGGGCAACGGUAGGUCAGUAUGCCCCGAAUAUCCCGGGCUACACGCGAGCUACAAUGGUUGGUACAAUGGGUAUCUACCCCGAAAGGGGACGGGAAUCUCCUAAAACCAAUCUUAGUUCGGAUUGAGGGCUGCAACUCGCCCUCAUGAAGCUGGAAUCCGUAGUAAUCGCGUUUCAACAGAACGCGGUGAAUACGUCCCUGCUCCUU